rnacentral:lncRNA from 1 species
GUGUGCGCAACAUAUUUUCGGCUAUACUUGAAUUUUAUGUUGAAAGCCUUUUUGAUCAAUGUUUAUCACAUACAUAUAUAUUAUCAAUGACACUUGAAAAUGAGGUCUAGGUAAGACAAACCCUGACAGACACCUUACAAACUUCAAUCCAUAAGGCAAUGUUGAUCUAUUACUUUAAUAGUAUCUGAGAAAAAGACACUACAGGGGGUAGGCUAUCACAUAAUUUAACAUUGACCACUAAACCAUGAAAAUGCUAUAAAAGUCAAAAGAUCACCAGCAGACACACAUGUAUUAUCUAUCAUUCUAUCACCAAGUAUAGUUUUUGCCUAUAGUAUCUGUGAAACGGACCUAAUCGCAAAACCUUAUUUAUGACCAAUAAACCAUGAAAUUUAGGUCAAUGUCAGAAGAAUUUAUCCUCCUUGACAGACA